UACGAAGGGGGCUAGCGUUGUUCGGAAUUACUGGGCGUAAAGGGCGCGUAGGCGGUCUUGUAAGUCAGAUGUGAAAGCCCCGGGCUCAACCCGGGAAUAGCAUUUGAUACUGCGAGGCUUGAGGCCGGGAGAGGAUGGCGGAAUUCCCAGUGUAGAGGUGAAAUUCGUAGAUAUUGGGAAGAACACCGGUGGCGAAGGCGGCCAUCUGGACCGGUACUGACGCUGAGGCGCGAAAGCGUGGGGAGCAAACAGG
rnacentral:rRNA from 1 species